CCUACGGGUGGCAGCAGUGAGGAAUAUUGGUCAAUGGACGCAAGUCUGAACCAGCCAUGCCGCGUGCAGGAAGACGGCUCUAUGAGUUGUAAACUUCUUUUGUACGAGGGUAAACGCAGAGACGUGUAUCGGUCUGAAAGUAUCUUACGAAUAAGGAUCGGCUAACUCCGUGCCAGCAGCCGCGGUAAUACGGAGGAUUCAAGCGUUAUCCGGAUUUAUUGGGUUUAAAGGGUGCGUAGGCGGGCGUUUAAGUUAGAGGUGAAAUUCGGUGGAUCAACUAUAGAAUUGCCGUUGAUACUGGGCGGAUUGAGUGUGUUUGAGGCAGGCGGAAUGUGUGGUGUAGCAGUGAAAUGCUUAGAGAUCAUGCAGAACCCCGAUUGCGAAGGCAGCCUGCCAAGCCAUUACUGACGCUGAUGCACGAAAGCGUGGGGAGCAAACAGGAUUAGAUACCCGAGUAGUC
rnacentral:rRNA from 1 species